GGCGGACGGGUGAGUAAUGUCUGGGAAACUGCCUGAUGGAGGGGGAUAACUACUGGAAACGGUAUCUAAUACCGCAUAACGUCGCAAGACCAAAGAGGGGGACCUUCGGGCCUCUUGCCAUCGGAUGUGCCCAGAUGGGAUUAGCUAGUAGGUGGGGUAACGGCUCACCUAGGCGACGAUCCCUAGCUGGUCUGAGAGGAUGACCAGCCACACUGGAACUGAGACACGGUCCAGACUCCUACGGGAGGCAGCAUG
rnacentral:rRNA from 1 species